UCCUCUUUGUCCUCCAACCAGCCACAUCCAUCCUUUAUUUCCCCACCGCCUUUUAUUGCUGCCUCCUCCUCCUCAACUCCUCCCCUCUCUGCAGGUCUUCCAGAAUAACAACAGCUGAUGACGGGCAUGACUGAACUCAGCCGAGAGCAGCGCGGAGAGGCUGAAUUUGCCUCCUUUUUGGAUAUUUGUCUUGUGUUUUGCUAGGUGGUAAAUGAGCGAGUGUGUGCAUGAGUAUAUGUGCUCCACCAGCACCCACAGCAGUGGAGGGAGGAGACAACUCUAAGCGUGAGCGAUGUCGUCUCCCCCCAUCCUCCUCCUGCUCCUCCUCACUUCCUCCCUCCCCCCUUCUCUCGUUCUCAUGCUGCUUCUAAUUCAUUGCCAUGGACAUCAGGAUCCGUUCUCGCUCUCUUGCCAUCAUUCUGCUUGAUUAUGCAAUGCAUAGUCCUCCCACGAUGACUAACUGGUGUUGGAGAACCACCGUAACAGUGCUGUCACUGGUGGUAGGCGCACAUCCAUAGUGUCAUAUCGAUUGUCUGACACCCCGACUGCUUUUGGUUUUCUACAGAAAUCUGCUCCAUGGGAAUUUACAGCUUUUCCUGCUCCUCUGGAAUAUCACCUGCCACAGACCGCUAAUUCGGGGAGCUGCAUGUUCUUACCAAGCUCAGAGGAAGCUUGGUGACAGAGAGACUCUUAUCAGUUCAUUCAGAAAAAAUAAUCACAUUGCUUGCAAGGCUUUUUUUUGUUUUGUUUUUUUUGUUAAAGGCAUUCAUUGCUAAUAGAGGCCAGUAGAAAACUGGGGAGAGUGUGUUACAGCAUAAGGUGUAGGCAGGCAGGGGGGUUUCAGCAAAGCCGUUACAGGGAAAUCAAGAGAAGGAGCAGACGGUCAGUAUAGGAGUAAUUCAGGGGAGGUGGGAGGGAACAAAUGAGGAGAACCCCUCUCCUCUCCACUACGCAGAGGCUGCUGGUGCUUUAGCAGCAGCAAGGCAAACCUGCUGAUGAAAAAAAGGAAAAAAAAAAACAAACUGGCAAGACAAAGGGGGAACUUAAUCAGAAGGGAAGUUUGUGGGUAGGGUUGUUGAACUUGACAGGUGGCGCUAUAGACAGGAGAAGGGGACAAGUGUCACAAGGAGGUUUUCAUUGGAAGCGUCGCUGAGCACCGAGAAGCUGUCGUGGCAUCGCCGUCUCUCUCCGCCACUUGGUCUGUCGCUUAUAGGCACUGGAACAGUCUUUACCCAGCCUCCCCACCUCUUUUUUUCCCUCCACAUGUAGAAUGCCCUUAAAGCCAUGGUUUUUCUGUGAGGACCCAAAAAGCAUGCCGGAUGACGAUGUCUUACACCUAAGGCGCUUUAGGAUAAGUGCACCCUUGCCAGGUUAGGUGAAUAACAGCACCAUGGGUACUACAGUCAUCACCCUUGAUGACGUCCGGGCACUGGAGCUCAAGGAGGAGCAGGAGGAGUCCAUACUGGCCAUGCUAGGCAUCAUUGGCACAUUUCUUAACCUGUUUGUAAUCGUUUUUGUUUAUAUCUACACCACACUGUGACAUACCAAAACUGAAGAAAAGGAUUUCUAAAUCAGAGAAAAUAUGCAAGAAAAGUUGAAGUGGGCAGUAGUGAAGGACGGGGUUAAUUAGAAAGCCACACAUGUUUGAGAAAGACGUUUGAAAUGAAAGUCUAUCCCAGAGAGAGGAGAAAGGAAAUCAACAGACUGGUUAAAGAUGUAAACAAACAAGCCAUAUUGCCAAGCCACAGCCAUGAGCCGACAAGAUAACAAAGGGCUGGGAGACAUGGCAGGAACAGGACUAGGCUGGAACCAGGGUAUGCCAGAUGGACAUCAUCAAGCUCCCAGCCAGGACUGACUCUCCCGUGUGGCCCAAGAGGAAAAACAAAAUUUCCCUAGAUCAGAUUUUUUUUGGACUGUUGUACUUACUGGAAAGAAUUGUUGUAGAAAACAGAUAUAUUUUCUCUCUUUUUAAAUUCAAAACUUUGGGGACCAUAAUUGCUACUUGUCUGGAAGGAGUUCUCAACAAUAUGAUUAAAGGCAAAGUCUAUAAAGUGACAACUGGAAGCUGCUUCUGGAAACACUCCUGGUCACCUGUAAGUCUUCAGGGCCACAAAAUGUGUUUGAUUCAGGGCCCUUACAGUAAUACAAAUCAGCACUCUUCCUAAGCAAUGUGGCUGUACAACAACUUCCGACAGACCGGCAACUUCACAUCAUGUGUACCACAAAUUCACACUAUACUGAGGUGUUCUAGAAGUGCUUCCCAAACCCCAAAAGUGUGAAACUAUUUUUGAUAAUACACAGGUCUUACACAGAAGUCACAGUUGCAAGACAUUAAGGAAUGGGAUCAAUUUGUAAUUAAACUGUGUAGUUUCCAUUUGAAAUGGGGCUUAUAUUCUUUCUUCAUCUCUGUCCAUCUUUGAAAGUCGGUGAGUGUGAGUAAAAUGUGUCAGGUGCAGAGGGAUCGCAGAGGUCUCUUCAUUUAUUUGCUCAUAUUCAUUUAAGGGUAGUGUCAGCAAUCAUUUUCCUGUAUUAAAAAGCUUUUGAUAAAUAUCUGAAUAACGUCUAGAUGUAUUGUGGAAUUGGAGGACAUUUGAACAAUAAACACCCAAGAAUAACAAUAA